rnacentral:miRNA from 1 species
UUCUCUUCUUCUUCUUCUUA